rnacentral:lncRNA from 1 species
ACCGACGAGGUCACCGACGUCAACUAGAGGCCUUCCUUCAAUAGGCGAAGGCCAACUGCCCUUUUACAGUUUCUCUCCUUUUGACAGGCUCAGGAGACAACCUUUACAGACCUUUCUCUCCUCACUUUACAACUCAAAAACUUGAAGAACAGAAGGAGGAGACUUAAAGGCUUAACAACACUUUUGAGCUCUUAGAAUCAUAGAAAAGAUCAAGAUUUCGGUGUAGGUC